CCUUGGGCCGCUGAGGGGAGGAGCCGAGCGGCGUUCGCGGGAGGCAGCUUCCUCGACCUUCAGGCGCCCGGAGACAAGCGGGAGGACAGGAAUCUCUAAAGAGUGAGAGGAAAACUGAUGACAGGCACUGCCCAAAGAAGAUGGAACUGUCAUAGUUGUUUUUGUUUAGGAUCUGCUUACCCCCCUGAGAACAUAAGCUUGAUGAAGGCAAGGACCGUUUCUUAUCACUGUUGAAUCCCAGUUCCUGGUACAGUGCCUGGCACAUAGUGGAUGGUCAAUGGAUUUAUGAAUGAAUGAACAAAUUAACAAACAACCAUGGGGUGUGUGAAGAGCAGUAAAAAGACUGGACUAUUUGGAAAGAAGUGUCUUUCCUUGAGGAGUAGAGGAAUCUCCGAUUCUCCAACAGACUGGCAGAGGAACAAGUAAAUGGGCCUGCAUGGGAUUCAAAACACAGGGGCAAGUGGAACCAGCUGAACAAGAUAACAAUAGAGGUGAAGCCUAACCCUGGAAACCAGUCAAGAUUUCCAAAGAUAAACCCUCGGGCAGCAAGAACACUGUCAAUGAAAAGAAACUGACCUUUCGCCUUCUGGAGUCGCAGAAUUCCCACAAAUGCUGUGUCCUCAUCAGCUCUGGCAGCCUCGCCACCACAGCCCAGGCUUCGACGCCAAUUCAUAAACAGCACGGAGGGGGCUGUGCUAGAAGUCAGAGCUUCUCCACCUCCAGCACCUCAAAAUACAGGCUCCCUGCCACCCCAUUUUCUUCUAGAGGUUAACCUUCUCCCCAGGCUCACAAAGUUAUGAGAGCCUUUAAGGGGUUUUCCUCUGACAGUGUGGUCUAGUCUGCUGCUGCUGAAGAGAUCUCAGGAUGGUCCCUAGGCUUUGUGAUUCAAAAUAAGGAGAAUGGAUAAACAGAGACAAGACUGAAGAGGCAGAAGGAAAGGAGGAGAUGAACAAAAGACAGAACAGAAGAAAUGGAAAGUGAGGGGUUAAGACAGUGAGGAGCUCCAGAGCUGAUGAAAUGUAAGAAUCAGGUGAGGAAAGUGAAGUUUAAGAAUUGUUCCUAAAAUUUUUAAUGCUUUUUAAUGUUCUUAGAGAAUGGCAAGAAAAAUUUGAAUUUGUUUUAAAAUAGUUCUGGUUGCUAGACUAUUUUUCAGUUCAGCAUUGCUUUGAGACUGAGCCUUGUGAUGUCCAGCUUAUAUUUGGGUUAUACAUGACACCUCCUUCCUCAUUUGCCACAUCUAAACAGUUGCCAAACCCUGUAAUUUUUUUCCCUGCCAGGCUUAUCACUACUGCCCAACAACACCAUACAUGCCAGCUCGACUUCCUCACACCUCCAACUUUUUUCUUUCUUUGAACUGUGGCUCAUUCUGUUUCCUACACCCAGAAUCACUGCCUAUAUCUAUCAUAAGUUCUUUCUAUACUUCAAAAACCAGCUCAGAUUCCACCUUCUCAAGGAGACCUUCCCUGUUGGCGCUUUACACAUUCUACAUUCCUUCCUGCCCUUGCACUUGCAAUUUUCCAAAACAACAGUAAUAAUAAUGAUGGGAGUUCCCUGGUGGCCUAGUGGUUAGGAUUAGGUGCUGUCACUGGCAUGGCCCAGGUUCAAUCCCUGGUCAAGGAACUGAGAUCUCACAAGCUGCAUGGUGGCCAAAAUAUGAAAAAAAAAAAAAAUGAUGAUGGUGGUACCAAGGACUAAUAUUUAUAUUGAGCUCAUUGUGUCCAGGCACUAUUAUAAGUGCUUUGCACAUAUUAUUUCAUUUAAUUCUUGCAACAGCCCUGUAAGGUAGUACUGUGGGAACUAAGAAAGGGUAAAGCGACUUCCCUAAGGUUACAUGGCUAUAAUUGUCACCAACAGGAUUUGAAUCCAGGCCUCAGAAUCUGUAUUAUUUCUAGAAUGUACUUACAUUUUAAUACUUCAAUAUAUGACUGAAUAUAUUCCUGUCAUUCCUCUAUGUCUACAGGCAGUUUUCAUUUGCUACUGCUUCACAUUUUGCACCUCCCCCUAU